CACCUACUCCCUCCGUUCCAUAUUAGUUGUCGCUCAAAAGGAUGUAUCUAGCACUAAAAUAUGUCUGGAUACAUCCAUUUCUUCGACGACUAAUAUGGAACGGAGGGAGUACCUU
rfam:Triticum urartu cultivar G1812 contig556929, whole genome shotgun sequence.